rnacentral:rRNA from 1 species
UACGUAGGGUGCAGGCGUUAAUCGGAAUUACUGGGCGUAAAGCGUGCGCAGGCGGUUUGCUAAGACAGGUGUGAAAUCCCCGGGCUUAACCUGGGAACUGCGCUUGUUACUGGCAGGCUUGAGUGUGGCAGAGGGGGGUGGGAUUCCACGUGUAGCAGUGAAAUGCGUAGAGAUGUGGAGGAACACCGAUGGCGAAGGCAGCCCCCUGGGCUAACACUGACGCUCAUGCACGAAAGCGUGGGGAGCAAACAGG